GUUGCAGGGCGGAGUGUGGCUGCCAGGAAGCCACCCCCCGACAGCCUGUCAGAGGAGAGCAGUACUUUGGACCUGCCAUAAGCCUGUAUGUGAAGGAUUAUGUCCUGCAGAGAUGCAGCCAAGAGGCCAACAGCAAGGCUUUUAGUUCUGUGAAAUUCCAUUCUUUUCCUUGCUUUUCUGAUGUGGAUCCAGACACCAGGAGCCUAAAUACUAAACAAAAUGACUCUGGGACCACUGAGAACUUUUGAUUUCACCUUUCUGUGUAAGGCCAAUCAGAGACCGUAGAAGAGGAUAAUGGACUUCAGAAAUCUCUGGAUAAAUUCUAUGAAAUGUUUGGAUAUCCAAAGCUAGCCUCUGGGAAUCCAUUCUCUGCAUCUGUCUGCCAGUGCCUGUCUCAGAAAAUCCCUCAACUAAGAGUCCAGGAGAGCCAAAAGUAUGCCCUCUAUAGUUUUCAAAUGUCCCAGGUCAUCUUUAA
rnacentral:lncRNA from 1 species